rfam:Oryza glumipatula chromosome 11, whole genome shotgun sequence.
UAUAAGUGUAACCAUAAGUUUCCGCGUCCAACUUUGAUCAUUUGUCUUAUUUAAAAUUUUUUAUAAUUAAUAUUUUUAUUGUUAUGAGAUAAUAAAAUAUGAAUAGUACUUUACUCGUGACUUAUGUUUUUAAAUUUUUUCAAAAAUUUUUCAAAUAAGACGGACUGUGGCGCGAAAAACCAUGGCUACACUUAUA